rnacentral:rRNA from 1 species
AGGCCUAAUACAUGCAAGUCGAACGAAUCCUUCGGGAUUAGUGGCGGACGGGUGAGUAACACGUGGGAACGUGCCCUUUGGUUCGGAACAACUCAGGGAAACUUGAGCUAAUACCGGAUGUGCCCUUCGGGGGAAAGAUUUAUCGCCAUUGGAGCGGCCCGCGUCUGAUUAGCUAGUUGGUGGGGUAAAGGCCCACCAAGGCUACGAUCAGUAGCUGGUCUGAGAGGAUGAUCAGCCACACUGGGACUGAGACACGGCCCAG